rnacentral:misc_RNA from 1 species
AGUUCUCUUAUUUACUGCUUGACGAGGUUGAAAGCUUGAAUUAGACAUUUUGUCUUGUUUUCUGUUUUUUUACGGAAAGCAAUUUUAUCAAGGGUAUUGUGCUAUCUAAAGGUCAUUUUUGUAAUGGCCGACUAUAACUUGUUUUAUUUUAUUACGAGUAUUUAUAGGGAUUAGCUCAAUUUGUUUUUAACACCGUUAAUUUUUCUGCUAGACAUUGCUUUAUUUUUAUACACUGGCGAGCUAUUUAUAGACUCGGCAAACACAUUGUUUACACUUUUUUGAUGACAUUUACCGCAAGGCGAUUACAUAGUAAGCAUUUUUGUGUUCUACAUCCGCCAGUUGUGGUGACGUUUCGCCUCUUUUGCUGUGACGUUUAUCACUGUUUAUGUAAAUUUCAUCAUGGCGGAUGCAAUGUUGUCAUCGCACAAAGAAAAGUCUGGUGUUUCAGCGGAUACGUCCGACAAAGGGAAAAGACUGUUGAAAGAUACAUUAAACAAGCCUGUAGGUAAAUCUUCAAGCAGUGUUCCCAAUACUGAUAUUAAUGGUGUUAAGCCCCCACAAAAGAAAUCGGUGUCUGAUUCCAACCAGGUUAUGACUUUCAAUAAAGAAGCCCUCUCCAUUUUGAGAGAUAUGAACAAUAGUAUUACAAAACCUAAUUCAAAAGUAGAAGAAUUAGCGAGUAGGGCCGAUGCUUUGUAUGAGCAGGACAGUUCCCUUAGGGGAUUAUGACGAUGAUGUGUGUCCCGAUUAUGAUAGUGUGGCCGAUCAGAAAAGGCAACAUGUGCAAGAAGAGGAUGAUGAGAUUAUGUUCAGUUAAUUUCUUAAGAAAUUCAAAAAGUCUGACCCUGUAGAUAAUUAUAUAGAUCAGAAGUUGGCUGAUAUGAUUAACAGUACUUUCAGAGAUGAUGAGAAUUUUAAUGAGCUUACCAAGGACAUUGUUCAUCCCGAGAACUGAGUCUCUAAAAGUUACAAGUGUUUGGACUAUUCUGAAGCCUCAUACUCAGACAGAAGAUUCCAAAAUGAGAGGUAUUCAAGGUACCAUUAUCAAAGCUGCCUGUACCCUUGCAAAACUUUUAGAUAAAGGUGCUCCACACUUUGAAACUGAUAUAAUAGAAUGGGGAACUACAGUUAUCGGUCUACUAGGUCAGGUAAAUAAGUGGAUCAAUGUUAGGUGUCGGGAACUCCACAAAAAAAGACAUGGACCCGAAACUUCGCUAUCUGUGUUCUGCAUCUAUCCUGUUUGCUGAUCAGUUAUAUGGGGACUCUAUGGUCAAGAACAUUAAAGAUAUACCAGAAAUUAAUAAGAUUAGCAAACAGGUGUCUCGUGGAAGACCUAGGGGUCAUGGUACAAGUAGGUUCUCACGCUUCAGAAGGCCUUUAAGAUGUGUUCUUGUUGGUAGAGGAGCUUAUUCCGCCCCAAGGCCAAAAAACAUGUACAGAGCAGAGACAACCAAGAAGUAAGGUUUUACAGCAGUCUGAUAUCGAAAUUGAUGGUGAAAUUGGUGGAGGACCAAGCAGAGUGCAUUCUUGUUGCUCCAAUAUUGUUGACGCAGAGUUGGUUAACAAGGGCAUAUAUUUCUACAGUUACUUGUGUGGAAAAUCAACUAUUACAUAAAUUUCCUGCUUUGAAGACUCAUCUGGGAAAGGAAGUGGUAUGACGUAAACAGUCCUACGACUUACUACCAUAUCUAUGAUUUUUACCACUUUUCUUGGACUUAAUUAAUACCUAGGUGAUUAUUGCCUAUGAAACUUGAAAUCAGUUUUCACUACAGGGAACCACAGGAUCCACUGAUUAUCAUUACCAGAUGUUAUCUCGGGCAAUUACCAAUCAUACAAGAUAAGAUCAAGUAACAUUUUAUUGUGUAAUUUCAUAUAUAAAUACAUGCAACUGGAAACUAGUCUACUUUCACUCAGUAUAUAUAUUAAUAUAAACAGGUAUUUUCACUUUGUCAGUAAUUGUCCGAUACUAUACAUUUUUUAAUUCAAUAAUUGUCCGAUUAUGUAUACAAUCACUUAUAAAGAUUAAUUAAUGUAUCAUGUUUCAAGACUUUUAAUCAAGUAAAUGAUUUUAAAUCACUGUC